CACAGGUGCUGCAUGGCUGUCGUCAGCUCGUGUCGUGAGAUGUCGGUUAAGUCCGCUAACGAGCGCAACCCUCGCUGUGUGUUAUAUGUGUCACACGGGACUGCCGGUCUUAAGCCGGAGGAAGUGGGGAUGAUGUCAAGUCAGCAUGGCCUUUAUAUCCUGGGCUACACACACGCUACAAUGGCCAACACAAUAGGUUGCUAAGCCGCGAGGUGGCGCCAAUCCAUAAAGUUGGUCUCAGUUCAGAUUGUAGGCUGCAACCCGCCUGCAUGAAGAUGGAGUUGCUAGUAACCGCAGGUCAGCUAUACUGCGGUGAAUACGUUCCCGGGGCUU
rnacentral:rRNA from 1 species